GACGUAGGGCGCGAGCGUUGUCCGGAUUUAUUGGGCGUAAAGAGCUCGUAGGCGGCUCGUUGCGUCGGCUGUGAAAACCCGCAGCUCAACUGUGGGCUUGCAGCUGAUACGGGCGGGCUGGAGUUCGGUAGGGGAGACUGGAAUUCCUGGUGUAGCGGUGGAAUGCGCAGAUAUCAGGAGGAACACCGAUGGCGAAGGCAGAUCUCUGGGCCGUAACUGACGCUGAGGAGCGAAAGCAUGGGGGAGCGAACAGG
rnacentral:rRNA from 1 species